AGAUUGAACGCUGGCGGCAUGCUUUACACAUGCAAGUCGAACGGUAACAGGCCGCAAGGUGCUGACGAGUGGCGAACGGGUGAGUAAUGUAUCGGAACGUGCCCAGUCGUGGGGGAUAACGCAGCGAAAGCUGCGCUAAUACCGCAUACGAUCUAUGGAUGAAAGCGGGGGACCGUAAGGCCUCGCGCGAUUGGAGCGGCCGAUAUCAGAUUAGGUAGUUGGUGGGGUAAAGGCUCACCAAGCCAACGAUCUGUAGCUGGUCUGAGAGGACGACCAGCCACACUGGGACUGGACGACGACCGGCCACGACCUACC
rnacentral:rRNA from 1 species